GGCUUCAUAGCUUAGUGGCAGAGCAUUUGCACCGGAAUCGCAACAUGGGUUCGAAUCCCGUUGAAGCCA
rnacentral:tRNA from 1 species